rnacentral:rRNA from 1 species
GUUUGCCGGUACCAUAUGAAUAAGCAUCGGCUAACUCCGUGCCAGCAGCCGCGGUAAUACGGAGGAUGCGAGCGUUAUCCGGAUUCAUUGGGUUUAAAGGGUGCGUAGGCGGAAGUGUAAGUCAGGGGUGAAAGUUUGCAGCUCAACUGUAAAAUUAGCCUUUGAUACUGCAUUUCUUGAGUACAUUUGAGGUAGGCGGAAGUGUGUUGUGUAGCGGUGAAAUGCUUAGAUAUAACACAGAACACCGAUUGCGAAGGCAGCUUACUAAACUAGUAACUGACGCUGAUGCACGAAAGCGUGGGGAUCGAACAGGAUUAGAUACCCUGGUAG